UUAGUUCGAGUAAGAUGACGAGAGAGUAAGAGAGGAAGAUAAAUGGAAUAAGUUGGCGAUGCGAAUAUAUAAUAAUCUGUUGAAGGACGGUGCUGUUCACUCUUUACAGGUCAUCAGUCUCCCCAUCGAAAGGCACGGUCUCCAUCUCCAUGUGGAUGUUGCUUGUCUCUCCGCUACCCACCCAGCCAAUGGGAGUGCGGUUGAAGGAGGGCCGUGAAUUUAUAUCAUGCUGGUACACCACUGCAGGCUCAGGAUUGUCCACCACCUCAAUGUCUGGCAGCUGGAAGGUCAUUAGCUGAGAAGCUUUCUCAAAGCCACCAAAGGGCAUGGCAAUCCUAUUAGAGGAAAAAUACAGUUGCAGUGAGACCAUCCUCUAAGAACACAGGUGGACCCAAAGCAAGAAAAAUGCCACCACUACAUGACAUAGCCACAUAGCAAACAGACCUCUACCCUGACUGAGGAGAGCCAACCGCUUCUUUUCACCUGAAUGGUUUAUACAGUAAUGCAGCAGCAAUGAGGAAUCCCUUCAGCCCAGCUACCAUCAGCCAUAGCCGAUCAUGUCUGUAUAGACACCAAGCAGGCCGAUAACAGAGCUGAGAUUUGGACUUCAGAGCUCAAGAUCUCAGCAGAGUUAUUUUGAUGACUGAGCUUUCUGACUAUGGCUCUAGUCAUAUGUGGCCAAAUA